AGAGUUUGAUCAUGGCUCAGAACGAACGCUGGCGGCGUGCUUAACACAUGCAAGUCGAACGCGAAAGUUUUCUUCGGAAGAUGAGUAGAGUGGCGCACGGGUGAGUAACGCGUAAGUAAUCUACCCUGGUAUCCGGGAUAACCCACCGAAAGGUGUGCUAAUACGGGAUACGCUGAGUAAUCAGGAAAGGUGGCCUCUUCAUGAAAGCUACUGUACCGGGAGGAGCUUGCGUACCAUUAGCUAGUUGGUAGGGUAAAGGCCUACCAAGGCGACGAUGGUUAGCGGGUCUGAGAGGAUGAUCCGCCACACUGGAACUGGAACACGGACCAGACUCCUACGGGAGGCAGCAGUGAGGAAUAUUGCGCAAUGGGGGAAACCCUGACGCAGCGACGCCGCGUGGAUGAUGAAGGCCUUCGGGUCGUAAAAUCCUGUCAGGUGGAAAGAAGUGUAUAGAUGAUAAUACCAUUUAUAUUUGACGGUACCACCAAAGGAAGCACCGGCUAACUCCGUGCCAGCAGCCGCGGUAAUACGGAGGGUGCAAGCGUUGUUCGGAAUUACUGGGCGUAAAGCGCGCGUAGGCGGUUUUAUAAGUCAGAUGUGAAAGUCCACGGCUCAACCGUGGAAGUGCAUUUUGAAACUGUAAUACUUGAGUACUGGAGGGGGUGGUGGAAUUCCCGGUGUAGAGGUGAAAUUCGUAGAUAUCGGGAGGAAUACCGGUGGCGAAGGCGACCACCUGGCCAGAUACUGACGCUGAGGUGCGAAAGCGUGGGGAGCAAACAGGAUUAGAUACCCUAGUAGUCC
rnacentral:rRNA from 1 species